GACGAACGCUGGCGGCGUGCCUAAUACAUGCAAGUAGAACGCACAGUUUAUACCGUAGCUUGCUACACCAUAGACUGUGAGUUGCGAACGGGUGAGUAACGCGUAGGUAACCUGCCUGGUAGCGGGGGAUAACUAUUGGCAACGAUAGCUAAUACCGCAUAAUAUUAAUUAUUGCCUGAUAAUUAAUUGAAAGGUGCAAUUGCACCACUACCAGCUGGACCUUCGUUGUAUUAUCUAGUAGGUGAGGUAACAGCUCACCUAGGCGACGAUACAUAGCCGACCUGAGAGGGUGAUCAGCCACACUGGGAAUGAGACACGGCCCAGAAUCCUACGGGAGGCAGCAGUAGGGAAUCUUCGGCAAUGGACGAAAGGCUGACCGAGCAACGCCGCGUGAGUGAAGAAGGUUUUCGGAUCGUAAAGCUCUGUUGUAAGAGAAGAACGGGUGUGAGAGUGGAAAGUUCACACUGUGACGGUAUCUGACCAGAAAGGGACGGCUAACUACGUG
rnacentral:rRNA from 1 species